rnacentral:rRNA from 1 species
GGAGUUAGCCGGUGCUUCUUCUGUGAGUGAUGUCCUUCCUGCCGGCUAUUAACCCGCAGGCCUUCUUCCUCACUGAAAGUGCUUUACAACCCGAAGGCCUUCUUCACACACGCGGCAUGGCUGGAUCAGGGUUGCCCCCAUUGUCCAAUAUUCCCCACUGCUGCCUCCCGUAGGAGUCUGGGCCGUGUCUCAGUCCCAGUGUGGCUGAUCAUCCUCUCAGACCAGCUACGGAUCGUCGCCUUGGUGAGCCGUUACCUCACCAACCAGCUAAUCCGACAUAGGCUCAUCCGAUAGCGCGAGGCCCGAAGGUCCCCCGCUUUCCCCCGUAGGGCGUAUGCGGUAUUAGCCUGGGUUUCCCCAGGUUAUCCCCCACUACCGGGCAGAUUCCUAUGCAUUACUCACCCGUCCGCCGCUCGCCACCAGGGAGCAAGCUCCCCGUGCUGCCGCUCGACUUGCAUGUGUAGCUCGCCGCCACGCGUCAUCUGAACCAAGAUACAACUACUCGA